UCCGGCCAAUUAAAAACAGAGGAACAAAACCCUUGUUUAGUUUUGAAGACAGGCCUCCUUUCAUUCUCACACUAAGUUCCCGACCACUCAAUAGCGCCGCCGAUUCGGGUUUCCGGCGCACGCUUGCCACUCCUCUCCUUGCUUUUCUUCUUGCUUGGUCCAGUGGUCCCCCUUCCUCUCCCGCCCUCUUGCGUGCUUCCGCUCUUCCUAUGUCGAUUUCCCGUUGAAGCGUUGUUCACGCUCUCCGUUCAUGCGGCAUCUGUCCUCUAUCCUUCAUUUAAUCAGAUUCUGAGGUACGAUGUUGCUUCUUUUUGUAUUCAUCCUAUAUCAAUUUCACAAUCUAGGUUUAUCUCGUUAAUUUGAUUAUUAAUCAUUCUUCUAAUUAAUUUUUUAAUAGUUUUGGUUUGAAAUCAAUGAAAUUAUGACAUUUUGCUGGUUAAUAUCAUAAAUUCACUACACUGCCGAUUGUGAUAGAAUUUAAGUUUGUUUUCGAAUUUAGGGUUCAAUUUUCGGAUUGUUAAUAUCAUAAAUUCACUACAUUGGCCGUAUUUCUUCAGUAGUUGUGUAUCGGUUUCGACAAGGUAAGAUCUCUUCUUCACUUUUUUCUAGUUGUUUUCAUACUACAUAGAUUUUAGGAGUUCAAUUGUAAACUAACUUAGUUUAGUUUUUCUUUUUUUAUUGCUAUUUUUUGCACAAAUUAUAGAAUUACAAGCAGAGAUUUGAAUAACAAAUUUAUUUUUUACUGAUCUAUUGCUAUUUUUUUUUUGCACGAAUAUGAGAAAUAGAAUUAGGGGUGAUGUGGGUUGCAUUGUGGUAAAGUGAAUUAUGAUGACCGGAUAGGAUGUUGUAAACCUUUAAUUGAGGCUUGGGUGUUUAUAUGGCAGAGUACAUGUUCAUUUGUAGGUAGAUUGAAUUCAAAUAAUUAUUCACUAGCCUAGUUGGGAUCUUGAAUAUAAUCUUUCCAUAUAAAGGGGACUUUGUUGUCUUCAGCUCUGUAUUUUUUUACAAAUAAGUUCAGUUAAGUGGUCUGAUGAUAUGGAUUGGAGGGUGUUAUUGUUUGUCUAAUUUGACCCCUAAUUGGGAAAAGCAUGUAACUUUGAUUUUCGAAGACGGAGUUUAAAUCGCGGAGCUUGGAGGUUUGUGAUAGCUUUGUAAGUGAUCAUAUUGUAGGUUCUGUCAUUGCAACAUGCAAGAGCUCGGUUUUUGUGAUUUAAUAUAUGAAAUUGAUGAUCUAGUUUAGUUUGUUAAGAAUUUCAUGUGGGUGUGUUAGCUCUCGUAGGUAGUGAUGUGAUAUUUUUAUCUAUUCUAGAUGAGUAUACAAGCCAGGUUUACACUUGUACUUUAAAAAACAGUGAUUUAUUGAUGCUGCAUUUUGUUGAUUUUGCUGUCAAGACGAUGCUGAUGCUGCCACUUGCUGCUACCAUUGUCCAAAUGCAAUGUUGCUACUGCUUUAUUUUGUUGCAUAGGCUGCACUCUAGACUACUAUUAUUUGCCACUUCUGUUGGUUUUUUCUGCUAUCAUUAUUGCCAUUGUUAUAUUGCUCCCCAUAUCAAUCUAAAGAAAGAAAGUCAGGGUCCAUUAAUGUGUUUCUUUAUGAUGGAACUAUUCAAAAUAUUCUCAGCUUUAUGAGCUCUCCUUAAUUUCCAUUUCCCUCUAACUUUUUUUCCAUUAUCAUCCAAAAUAUGUAAAAUUGAUGAAAAAUAUACUUGUUCUCCAUGCACUUUUUUUUUUUGUUUGCAGUGGCUUUUUUUUGUCAAAUUACUAUAAUUGAUUGCUUUUAUCCUCAUCUUAAGAACAACUUUAUGGGCGAUUUGGAUUCCAUUCUAUAUACUUGCACUCUUGGUGAUAUUUGAACUAACAACAUGAUUAUAGGAUCCGGAUAAAAGUCAGCAACUUCUAUCAAUUUGUACUAGAAAGGUCUGUUUUCUGUUUUAAUUUUAAUUUUGUCUUGUGAGGGAGGCAGUAGCCUUGAUGUUUUGCUAUGCUUGUUUAGUGAUUUUCUUUGCCUUUCAUCCUCUGUGGUUCGGCUAGUGGUAUAUGCAUUAUAGAAAUGUAAUGUCCAUGAAUUGUUGUUGGUCCCAAAUUGAAAGUUCGGACGUUUCUUAAUUCUAUUCUCUGACUUGGUGUAGGCUAUGUAAAUACCUCAACAGAGUUUUCUCAGGUCAAGUCCUUGAUUCCAACGUCAUUUCUUAUAACUGGUGUAGCUAUAUUGGGCUCUGUGGGAUUUGCCAAAGCACUGGCAGCAAAGAAUGGUUAUGAUUUAGAUUCUAAUCAAGAGAAUCUCGGAAAGAAGAAAGCGUUGUUGGUUGAAAUUGAAGACGUUCAUGCUCUGUAGUGUGUUGGUCAAACCAAGGUGUUUUAAACGCUCCAGGCUUUGCCAGGGUGUAGUUGGACGCUGCUGCUUCUCUGAGUGACACUGCUACUACUUCUGCUUUGCUGAUUGUUGUUGCUUCAUCUUUUUUUGUUGCUGCUCCAAUUGUAGUGUACUCUAAUUUACUAAUUGUAUUUUUUUUUUCUUUUUUUUUUUUUGGGAUGAACUAUGUAAAUUUACAAGCUAUUAAGGAAAAUAUCUAAGGUUUAUGUGUA